ACGCCCGACACCUACGGGAGCCAGCAGUGGGGAAUAUUGCACAAUGGGGGAAACCCUGAUGCAGCGACGCCGCGUGGAGGAAGAAGGUCUUCGGAUUGUAAACUCCUGUUGUUGGGGAAAAAGAGGAUGGUACCCAACAAGGAAGUGACGGCUAACUACGUGCCACAGCCGCGGUAAUCUGAGCGGGCUGGCAAGGC
rnacentral:rRNA from 1 species